UGGGGAAUAUUGGACAAUGGGCGAAAGCCUGAUCCAGCCAUGCCGCGUGUGUGAAGAAGGUCUUCGGAUUGUAAAGCACUUUAAGUUGGGAGGAAGGGCAGUAAGUUAAUACCUUGCUGUUUUGGCGUUACCGACAGAAUAAGCACCGGCUAACUCUGUGCCAG
rnacentral:rRNA from 1 species